GACGAACGCUGGCGGCGUGCCUAAUACAUGCAAGUAGAACGCACAGUUUAUACCGUAGCUUGCUACACCAUAAACUGUGAGUUGCGGACGAGUGAGUAACGCGUAGCUAACCUUCCUGGUAGCGUGGGAUAACUAUUGUAAACGAAAGCUAAUACCGCAUAAUAGUGAUUAUUGCAUGAUAAUUGAUUGAUAGAUGCUAUUGCAUCGCUACCAGAUGAACCUGCGUUGUAUUAGCUAGUAGGUGAGGUAACGGCUCACCUAGGCGACGAUACAUAGCCGACCUGAGAGGGUGAUCGGCCACACUGGGACUGAGAAAAGGCCCAGACUCCUACGGGAGGCAGCAGUAGGGAAUCUUCGGCAAUGGACGACAGUCUGAACGAGCAAAGACGGGUGAGUGAAGAAGGUUUUCGGAUCGUAAAGCUCUGUUGUAAGAGAAGAAAGGGUGUGAGAGUGGAAAGUCCACACUGUGACGGUAUCUUAACAGAAAGGGACGGCUAACUACGUG
rnacentral:rRNA from 1 species